rnacentral:lncRNA from 1 species
UGUUUAAUGUAUGAGUGUGUUGUCUGCAUGUAUACCUGUGUGGUAGAAGAGAACAUCAGAUCCCAUUACAGAUGGUCAUGAGUGAGAAUUGAACUUAGGACCUCUGGAAGAGCAGCCAGUGUUCUUAACCACUGAGUCAUCUCUCCAGUCCAAAAUCUCUCAUUUUUAAAACAACAGGAAUGGAAAAGUUAAGAGUUACAGUGAUGGAUGUAAUUGACUACCUAUCCGUGUUGACAGAAGGCUCAGGACUACGCUCCUCACUGUAAUGGAUGGCCCAGGAGACACAUGAACCUAGUGUCCUCCCUCAGUCAGCACUAGCUCGAGCUCUGCCUUUUUCUUUAGUAUGUGUUCAUGCAUGUACAUAUGCACACAUGCCUGUGUGCUUGUGAAAUUAGUUCUCUUCUUUUACCUUACAUGGUUCUAAGGAUUAAAUUCUGUGUAUCAGGCUUGCAGAGCAAGUGCCGUUACCUGCUAAGCCAUCUUGCUGCCCCUGAAUGCUUCUUAGGAUCAUCUGACAGUAAUUGUUUAAAGGGGGGAGGUGUUUAGGGGUAACCAGCUACUCUUUGGUUAUAUUUGAGGCUGGCACUACAAGAAUUCACCAUGAACCCCUGUAAACCUGCUGAGAAACCCAUGGUCAUGAGGCUGCUGUGAACCGGGAAUGAUGUACCUUCAAAAUAGCUUUGUUUUUGCCUGUGGAUUAGCUCUGCCAUCAAAGUCAGUCACAGAGGUGUAUUUUUUCAGUGGGCGUUGGUAAUUGCAGAGGCUCAUAACUGAUCACAAUGCCAAAAAUGACUGACUUUUGAAAAGUUUGCCUCCAAAUGAGACAUCUGGAUCACCCACUCCUUCCAGGGCCCAGGGAGUGUCAUAGACAAGGGGCUGAGGAAGAAACUAAGAGAUGGCAGAAGCGGUGGAUUGUGGAACACUGUCUUCUGGCCAGGGCAUGGGCAUUGUUGUCCUGAAGCCUCACAGCUCUGAUGGUCAGGACGAGACCUACAUAGCACUGGACCUUUAGCAUUCUGUCAGAGGGAGCCAGAGGAGGGUUCGUGAGGCCCCAUUCCUCCCGGCAGAUACAAGUAGGGAGCAAGAGACAUUUUCUUCAGUUAGCCACUGGUAAGUGUCCAUGUAUAUGUAGGCAGCCCUAAUCAAUCUUAGUGGGUGCCAAAAACCAAAUGAAAGAAAAAGAUGUGAUGGGGCCGGGAACUAGUUGAGAUGAGGAGGACAGUGGGGCAAGGAAGGACUCAGGUGGGUUGAAGUGUGAGUGUUCACAUGUAUGGUUAUUCUGUGGAAACCCCAAGUUUAGGUUGGGUGUUUCUCAACUUUAUUGAGACAGUGUCUCUUGUGAAUCUGAUGUUUCCUGGUUCUGACUAGUCUCGUUAGCUAUCUUGCUCAGGGAUUUUCUGUCUUUGCUUCCCAGAUGCUGGGAUUGCAGUGGUUUUUACAUGGGUCCCAGGAAAGCACUUCAUGUCAUGAACUAGCUCCCUAGUCCCAGGUUUUAAUUUUUUAGAAACAAAAAUAAUUUUUUCCAUUAUCAGUAAUAAAAAGAAAAAAGCUUAAGGCUGGGGAUGUAGUGCUAGCUUGCAAAUCAUGUGCAAGGCCUGACUUCAACCCCAGCAUUGCAAAAAUAAACAAGUAAAUAAAUUAAAAUGAAUAAGUAAGUAGAUAAACCCGAUUCUCUUUAAACUGAAAGGGGGAAGGUGUUUGUUUCAGAUAUUUCAUCAUAUCCAUUCUUAGCUGUAUGGUCACAUAGUCUGAAGUGCUGGAUAUUAAUGUGAGCAAGCCAUUGCAAGGUUUCUGUUUCUCCAUUUGAGCUGUUUCUAGCUUAUAGAAAAGUUGGUACC